CCUACGGGAGGCAGCAGUGGGGGAUAUUGCACAAUGGGGGGAACCCUGAUGCAGCGACGCCGCGUGAGGGAAGAAGCGUUUCGGCGCGUAAAGCUCUAUCGGCAGGGAAGAAGAUGACGGCACCUGACCACGAAGCCCCGGCUAAUUACGUGCCAGCAGCCGCGGUAAUACGUAGGGGGCAGGCGUUAUCCGGAUUUACUGGGUGGAAAGGGGGCGCAGACGGCAAUGCAAGCCAGGAGGGAAAACACGGGGGCCAACCCCGGGACUGCUCUUGAAACUGCAUGGCUGGAGUACAGGAGGGGCAGGCGGAAUUCCUAGUGUAGCGGUGAAAUGCGUAGAUAUUAGGAGGAACACCGGUGGCGAAGGCGGCCUGCUGGACUGUAACUGACGUUGAGGCGCGAAGGCGUGGGGAGCAAACAGGAUUAGAUACCCGAGUAGUC
rnacentral:rRNA from 1 species